ACCGCGGCCGCUCCCCCGGGGAGGAGGGACGGGGCUGCCGCCCGGGGGGGGCCGGAGCGGAGCAGCGAGAGGGGAGGGUGCCGCAGCCCGGGAGGGGACAGCCUGGGGCCACCCACUCUGCCGAAAGUUGGGCUGGAGGGCAGGCCAGGAAGGUUUUCACACCUCCUGCACUACCUGUGAUGGACAAAUCUGUGCCACAACCAGCUCCAUGGUGCCGCAUCUUCUUGAGGGGAUCCCUCUCAGGGGAACAAAUCUAUAAGCUGCUUAGGACAAAACCCAAGUCAAGGGGAGGUUUUAGUGCUUAAUCUGUUGCCACUAGCAAAUAGGAGCAACAAUAAAAGCUAUUCCAAAAGAGUGAGAAUAAGUUGUGAAGGAAGACAAGUCAAAGGUAUUACAAAAAGAGGCGAAGAAUCCUACAGCUUUUGUGCUGAGGUUGCAUCCAGGCUACUUCGAAGAGUUCAAAUCUGCAGUGAUGCUGUAUGAGCUUCCAGCACCUGAGACCUCACUUUCUCAUGGAGAAAAGUAAGGAAAACAAACCAGAUUUGUCAAUGUCGAUCACUACCCACUUUGUCCAGCAUGUCAGUGAAGAGGUGGCUCUGAAUUGAUCCUCAGUUUUCACUAGUCCUUACGGAUCCUGGACCACAGAAGACAGCCUGUGUCCCUUGCAUUUGUAUCUCCUGCUCAGCCACGCUGGAUGGAGUCCUUCCCACGCCUGUAGUAUCUGCAGUACAAUACAAUCAAGGUCAUCUGAACUCCUUGGAUAAAGACAAUAUGUUGUCCAGUGAAUCAUAUGAAAGUUUCCAGAGGUUUUAUACUAAAAAAGAAGCGAUGAAAGGACUGUACCUAUCCCAUCUGUUUCUUUUACUACACUUGCAUCAGACUGUUCAGGAUGUUUCUCAGUAAGACCUAAUGAUGUCAAGAAGCGUUGUGACUGAGUGAUGUUGCGUGAGCACAUGGCAGCCGACUCAAGAACCAUAUGUCUCAUUCUACUGCCACAACCGAAGGAAGGAUGAGACGUACUCCAUCAAAUUCACACAUGAACACAGAUUAUUAUUUUUCCUAAGCUAUACAGAAAGUUAUCACACUCAGUCAGAAUUCAUGCACACAAGGGGAAAUUCUUGGGUCUGCCAGAUGUGCAUAGAAAACUCAGCAAGAUUCCACAGGCUGAACUGUACUUUUGCACUUGCUUAGGAUAAAUGAUGUAACACUUGUUCUAUUUGUAUAUUUCUGUAUCUUGUUCUUACCAAUAGCUACAAGAUGUAGGUCAAAGAACUCCUUCUAGGGUAAAAGAAACCUUCAAGGCAUUAUUUUUAGUAUAGAGGUGUAGAUAUGAUUGAAUAAUUCUAUCUUUAUUUAUUUUCCACUUUUUCUCUUCUAAAACAGACUUCAAAAAUAGCUGAAUGAAUGCCUGCCAGAUAUUCACUGCUUACAAGAAUAGGAGAAGUGGUCACAGUCUUAUCAGUGUUUUCAAAAUAUUAACAGUAUUCUUUAUUGUUCUUUUGGGACUCAGUCUCCCUAAAGGAGCAGGUGACAUUUUUGCCUCUGUUUUUAUUUCUUCCAGCAGACCUGUCUUUCCCAAGUACAUUUGAGAUGCAAUCUUACUGUUCUGAGAAAAAUCACACAGGAGCUCAGGGGGGUAGUUAGCAAAAGACUGGUGUAUUCUGAUAGUCCUGUAAUUCAAAAUCCAAGUGCUUUGGGUUCUUUUGCCCUUGGAUAUAUACAUAUAUCUUUUCUUGCUUCAAUAAAUGAGUGCCUGAGUGAUAUUGAUAAGAGCCAGGCUAUUGUUUUCUUUGCAAGGCAGAAACAUUUAACAGAUACACUGCAAGUGGUUCUGCAAAUUUAAGAUAUCCCCCCCAAAUGACUUUUGCUCCUGCUGAAGAUAAAACAAGAGUACAGAAGUCACUUGCAGCUAUUAAAUAAUUCUGCAAGACCAUUUCACUUGCAGAUGUUAAUAGCCCUUUUUAAGUAUUAUCCAAGGAGAAGUUUUCCCCUGGAUAUGGCACAGGAAUCUAUGAAUUGGUGUUACCAAGCAAACCUUUCCCUGGCAGCAGCUGCUGAAAGUUGAAGAUGCUCUUGACAUGACAACUCUGGGAAUCAGGGACAACAGGUCAGUGUGUGGUAACUGAAACCACUGGGUUUAAACCAGUUGGUGGUUUUGCCAUUUAAGGCCACAAGACUGUGGAGACGGGGUCAUGGUCUUGUUUAGAUGAUCCCACACUGCUCUGGGCCGCAGAGGCUAUGAGAACAGUUACUCCAACCUCUUCCUCUUCCUUCUGACCAACAUGGAGUUAGGUGAAGCUAUAGUCUGUCUCUUGUCCACCACACCUCUCCUCUGCACUCUCUUAAGUACUUGGAUCCAGGGCCUGUCAUUCUUCCUUAAGUUCUCAUCUAGUUACAGCCAGGUGAAUGAUGGAGUUGUCAGAAAUGGCAUCAGGAUUGGCUUUGUUGCAUUUCUUUUCACAUCAGUCUCCACCUACCAGAAUGUGUUUGGUGUGUUUAUGCUCUAAGCUAAAAAUAUUAUUACAUUAUGGAAUGUGAAAGCAAAUGUUCGUGGAAGGUCAGAGCUUUAACAUCUUAUUCAACACCAUAAUUAAAUGUCACUACCUCUAUCUAUUUAAGUGUUGUAGUUUGAAGGAGAAAAUGAAUAACCUUUCAGCUCUUCUAACAGUAUUAUUUCAGAUUUUAGAAACAAGGUGAUCUAAGUAUUUUGUAGAUAUAUGCUUUAGGGACAAAUAAACUUCAGAAGAAAAAUGGUUUUUAACUGAAAAGAAGCUAAGCACAAGCCCAAAUUUGAAUAGCAAAAUAACAAGCUGUUCUUUGCCAAAGGCAAACAAUAAAACCCUGCUGCUGUGCCUACUGAAGGUCCAUCCUUCCAUACGCCUUGUUUUUAUCAUUUAUUGACACUUCCAUCUCCAGUGUAAUUUAGUAAUACUUCAACCAGUCUGUUGGAAAAUAAACAUUAAAAAUUAUGAUAUUAGCUUAAUUUAGAUAUUAGAGACUAUAACUGACCCUGUGAAGAAAUCUAACAUAAAGCAUAUGAGUCAUUUCAAACUCUGUCAUCACGAGCAUCUGAAUUUAUUCCCAUCCUUUCAAGCCAAGACAGAAUGAAACCCCACGGGGUUGUUUCCCAGCACAAAUACAGUGAGACCACUUUCGUAAUGAGUAUUUCUUGAUGUCACCAAACUCAAGGCUGUCCUAAUAAUUUGAUUUAAAAAAAAAUAAUCUUAUCGAUUUGUUUGCCAGUUAGUGGAUUAAAUGUUCAUAAGUCAGUUCCUCUAUUUUCCUCAACUAACUUUGGAGGUGAUUCAGGACCCAAGUAAUUCACUGGGAAUUUGGAGAGGGUGAGGUUUGGUGUUUUAAUUUGGAAAUCAGAGGCAAAGGCCCCGUCCCAGCUCGAUCGCUCUCCAUGGUGCUGCAGCCCUUCUUCUUUUUACCCAAAACCACCUCUUUUGGCCUCAUUUGUACACUGGCUCUGGCAACCCAUUUCCAGACCAAAACCCAUGUUCUCCUGUCACCAGUGCUUUGCAGGACCAGACGAUCUGAAAGCAGAGUAGGACCUUAUUCCUGCUCUGUUUGCACAUCAUACCAGUUUUAAACCUCAUCAAACUGUAUAUUAUUUUUAAACUUAAAAUAUAACAGCGAAUUCCUAAAUGGAACUGUUCUUUAAAAAAUGUGUUUUGUGACUGAGGUGCCUAUCACUGACACUGAACUUUUGUUCACACAAAUUUGAAUAAAGCUACUCAUACUCUUAUUUAGUGUCUCAUGGGUCAUACUUCCAAACACAACAAAUCUAAGAGACAUUAAAGCCCUAUAAUUUUCAGAGUAUCUUCUCUUCAGUGCCUCAGAAACAUGGUGACACUUUGGGAAACACACCUGUUGCUGUGCCAGAGAGAGAAAAAAAAUUGAUUGCAGUUAUACCCUUAACAGAUCAUUGUUUUGUUUUGUUUUGUUUUGUUUUGUUUUGUUUUGUUUUGUUUUGUUUUGUUUUGUUUUUCCUCUGCUUUGACCAGUGAGUUUAAAAAAAUGACUAUAUGCAUUCAAAUUCUGGGUCACUCACCCAGCUUCUGGGAAAUACUUGCUCUUUGGAUUUCAGCAUCACUCACUUCAGCAGGAAUUAUACCUGAAUAUGCCCACAGCUGUACUGACGUGGCAUCUGUACCUGCUUAAAAUCCAGGUGCGUGUCAUGCCGAGCUUUGCAAAGACUCUCAGAGCACUUGAAGGAAGAAAUAAGCCCAGGUGUUGGUGACUAUUUUAAGCUCUUGCUUGAGAAGUUUUCUAAAUUCAAAUCUCUCAGCCACAGAUGGAAAACCUAGAGCUCUUUUGAGCUUGUAUACUCACUCAGAUUAUUGAAAACAAGUGUGUGGGCACCACUGAGAGAGAUCAACAGGAAUCUGUGAAAACACUCUGUGAUAAAUGUUUUUCCUCACCGGAAUUUUUAGUUAAUUUGUUGGCCUCAAGCAGUUUAGAUUUUCUGGUUUGUCUCUGAUGAUCGAAAAUGAGCAUUUGACUGGCACCAGGGAAAUCAAUCUGUUCUGAAGCAAGAUCUUCUUUUUAUCUUGAGAACUACUUAGUGUCUUCCAUCAAGCUGAGUUUAAUCAGGAUGCCUCAUCCAUUUGUAUUUUGCAAUGUGAGAGUCACAUCCUGAACACAAGGUCCUGAGAGGCUCUGUGUUUGCCUGGAGAGUUAACACAAAGCCACAGUCACACAUACCAGCCUGUGCAGAGAGGACAUGAGCCGUGGAAAUCCAUGGAAAUGUUUAUUUUUGGUGUCAUAGGCUUAGGGAUGUUUUAAAUAAUGAGGCUUCAGUGUAUACAGAGCUCCGAUUCUUUCCCCUUUGACUUUGUAUUGUGGUAAACCUCGUCAAAAUGUGAAAUUCCUGGUAUUUAUUGGUGCAUGUUCAGGUGAUAAAAGGAAAAACAUUUUGGUACAGAACUUUAAAAUAAAUUAAAAAGGGCACAAAUGGACUAAAUCCAGAGAGGUCAAUAGUCAGAUUUAAAUGUUGUAUCAAAACAUGUUGAAGUUACCAAUACUUCAGGAGCCAGGACAGACUUCACCAGUGGUUGUGCCACGCAGUGGCUGAUAAAUCAGAUAGAUAGUUGUGCCCAUGGUCUCUCUUCAUGACAUCAUAGCACAGAAUAUGAGUUGGUCUGAAAUUUGCUGCUAUUAAUCACAGUUACUUUCACAGUAAUUACUUUUAUUACUCAAAUUACUUUGAGAAUUCAUUCUGUGUUUUCUCCAAAAGACAAAAUGCAUCUCAUUGCUAAUAUACUGAACAUGAAGACUUACUUAUCAACCUCUUUACCGUAAUCAGAAGAACUUGACCUGAAUAAUAGAGUGAAAUUUAGUAUGAUGCAGAGGACUAUUCUGCCAAUACAGUCAUUCAAGGCUGUUAUGCUGUCCAAACAGGCCUGAGGGAUUUAAAUGGUCUGCAGAUUGUCUUGUAGACCUUUGCACAAAAAUAACUUUGAUCCAUAGAGAUUUACUGUAUUUUACAUCUUACCAAUUGUCUACACAAGGUGAACUUCAAACAGAACAGAAGUGAUUGUAUGUACGUGCACAGAGCUUGAGGAAAUACGUCCCAGUAUUUGUACUAAUGCCUCUUGUUGCUUCAUGUCGCAAUUCAAUGCUUUAUUCCUCAGAAAGGUGCUUUGAUGGAAAGUUUUGAUUGAGUUUUCUUCUGAUCUUUAAUGAAGGAAUUAACAUAACUAAUACAUUUAACUUUCUUCAUAUUUUUUUAAUAUAAUCUACAAUGAAAAUAGCAAAGCCAACAACAUCUCAGAUUUUGGUGGAAUCUACUUUACAAUCAAGUUGGUCCAUGUGUUCUGCUAUUGUACACAGGUAAUCUGAAAUAUAUCUUCACAAAAUCAUUAAUUUCAUCCUCUUCUGCUGUUUUCAGUCCUAAUUCAUUCUGGGGUGCUCUGAUACCCUCAAAUACAUGAAGUCAUCCUCUAAUGGUUUUCUAAAUUUACUAAAAUUGCUGCAGGUAGAUGUGAAGUAUUUGUAGUUAAUAUGAAUAUGAAAGGCAAAAUAGAAGAUGUAAUGAUGCAAUUCGACUCAAAAAUAAUAAUUAAAAAAAUAUUUGUUUGGAAAAGUAAAACUGAGUAAUAAACAAAUCUAUUUUAUGACUCUUUUCUUGAUACCAGUCUUUGAGAAUGUCAUGGUCACUUCUGGAAUAAAAUUCAGGGUAGUCUUACUGGAAUAGCUCAUUGUCUAGUCUCAUGUUUGAUGGGAAAAUUAGUGGUUGAUCCAGAACAUUAUUUUAAAAACUUAACAGGUUAAAAACUGAGAAUCACUGCCAAAAUUCAUGAAGUCUCAUUAAUUGAGGACCAAAAAAGAGCUUUAAAAUUCCCUCUGCACUCCUUGGAGGGGAUUCCAGCCUUGCAAAGUAAAUGUCAUUGAAAGAGAUUGAGCUCAUGGAAAAAUAAAUUCUCUCUGACAGAAGAGAAAAUUUGAGGGCCCCAAGAGUGCAAGAACAUAAAGUCUAGCCAGAGCGAAGCAGAUCUGCAAUAUAUUAAGCCUGAAUCAUAGUCCUGAGUCAUUCUUCACACUGAAGGAAACCAGCAAUUUAGAGUUAGACCAUGAGCUCCCCAUGCUCAGAUUUUACUCC